CCGGUGAAGUCGAUCUAUUUUAGCGUUCCCGCUACAUUUUGUAAAAGAACAAAUCCGGUAAGGUCGGGCUAUUUUAGCAUUCCCGUUACACUUU